rnacentral:rRNA from 1 species
GAUGAACGCUGGCGGCGUGCUUAACACAUGCAAGUCGAACGGAAAGGCUCCUGCUUGCAGGGGUACUCGAGUGGCGAACGGGUGAGUAACGCGUGGGUGAUCUGCCCUGCACUUCGGGAUAAGCCUGGGAAACUGGGUCUAAUACCGGAUAGGACGAUGGUUUGGAUGCCAUUGUGGAAAGUUUUUUCGGUGUGGGAUGAGCUCGCGGCCUAUCAGCUUGUUGGUGGGGUAAUGGCCUACCAAGGCGUCGACGGGUAGCCGGCCUGAGAGGGUGUACGGCCACAUUGGGACUGAGAUACGGCCCAGACUCCUACGGGAGGCAGCAGUGGGGAAUAUUGCACAAUGGGCGCAAGCCUGAUGCAGCGACGCCGCGUGGGGGAUGACGGCCUUCGGGUUGUAAACUCCUUUCGCUAGGGACGAAGCGCAAGUGACGGUACCUGGAGAAGAAGCACCGGCUAACUACGUG